AGAACAGGAACUUUAGCUGUACAUUUAUUCUGACUCGAGAAUUAAGAACGUUCUGUGAUUACAGGACGUGAAAUUUCAGCCUAAUUGGGCAAAUAAUGCACACACAAGCACUCUCAAAGGAUUUUCAACACCUUUUAUUGUUGAUAGCUAUAAAGCCCAGGUCUAAAGGCAGGGUUUGUUUAGUGAUGACCAGGAAAGUACAGAGUUCAAAAGUAGAACAGCAGGAAGCCUGGGGGAAUGUGAGCAAGCCAAGGCAAAACAGGAACACCCCAGCUACAAUUCAGACAGCAGCAAGGUAAACAAACCAGCAGACUAAUAUUUACAACAAUUUUCUUAUGUAAAGACCUGUUGACUGACAUGUCACCUAGCUUGAAGUCAAAUCUUAGCAUCAAAAAGCUUGUGUGUGUAAUCUUUAAGCAUCUCCUGAUGAGGCUGUGGAAGUAAACAAGGUCUUCUGAAAGCUUUUUAUUGAGGGCAGUUCUUUCUCUAAAUUUAGGCUAUGGAUUACUCAGUAUUUCAGGCUUCACUUGCUUUACAAAUCAUGAGCAGACACUGCUGCUGCAGCAGAGUUAAACUUUUUGGCAGGGUGCCUUCCUGUCAGUUUUAUACAGCACAAAUCCCAAUUCAGGGCUUUUAAAAAGAAUCAUCCACACCUUUCAUUAUGUAUUUUGUUGGAGGUGUGGUAAGGAAGUACAGAGGAUUGCUCUCAAUACAGCAAAUGGCCUUCUUUGUCACAGAAUGAUGGGUGCAAGAAAACAUAAGAAUAUCUGAUGGUAAUUUGACUUGUGUUUGAAAUUUUAGGACUUACUGUGCUGCUCCUUCCCUGAGAAGAUUGUCAUUGUUGAGCAAUAACCGGACAUCUGAGGAAGAGAGGGUUCAGGUCAUUGAGGCAACCUGUUUUUGCUGAGCCCUGGCUGCAGAAGUCACUGCUCCACAGGAAACAGUGUGUGAGGGAGAAGCUGAUCCCUCUGGAAAUGGAGCAUCCUCGCAGCUUUGCUGCAGUCCAGCCAUGAACUGGCAGGGCAGUGGAAGAAUUCAGGCAUGUGGAACUGGGAGUGACACAAUAAAUAACUGAAAAGGCCAACUCUGAAUGUCCAGAAACUUUGAGGCUGGGAAGGAAAAAUCCAUUCUCUUCUAAAAAAGGACCGAAGGGAAUAGAAACAUCCUGGAAGAAAUGAAACAGGAAAUGUCACAAAAUUAAACCUCUCCCUUAGAAUAAUAAAAACGUCACAUUUCCUCUGAUAAGCUCAGUAACAAAGCUGAGCAAUGAGCCUCUCCCACCCAACGAGACAUUUAUUGAAAGGGACUGCAGAGCUGCUCAUUACCACUCUGAUUACUUUCUACUUUUCAUUUUGAGCAGCAAAACAAAGGAUUCUCCCUGUGCAUCCAAUUGCUUCAGCUGAGUUAUUGCCAGAGCUGGAAAUAACUCACUUCUCUCAACAGUCCCCCCCCCCGUUUCAAGUAGAAAUUGCUGUUUGUAUUGUUUGUCACAUAAUGAUUUAAA